rnacentral:rRNA from 1 species
GUAACCUUUUAGGAGCUAGCCGUCGAAGGUGGGACAAAUGAUUGGGGUGAAGUCGUAACAAGGUAGCCGUAUCGGAAGGUGCGGCUGGAUCACCUCCUUU